ensembl:ncRNA mir-4953 mir-4953 stem loop
UAAAGUUCACAGGCGACCAUGAAUGUUAAUAAAGAAUAUUUACCAAUAAAGUUUUAUUUUUUAUUGAAGGUCAUGGACAUCCUUGAACCGAUU